rnacentral:rRNA from 1 species
UACGUAGGGGGCAAGCGUUGUCCGGAAUCAUUGGGCGUAAAGCGCGCGUAGGCGGUUACGCAAGUCGGUUGUGAAAAUCCGGGGCUCAACCCCGGACGUGCAUCCGAUACUCCCGGACUGGAGGCAGGUAGGGGAGAGCGGAAUUCCCGGUGUAGCGGUGAAAUGCGCAGAUAUCGGGAAGAACACCGGUGGCGAAGGCGGCUAUCUGGACGACAACUGACGCUGAGGCGCGAAAGCGUGGGGAUCAAACAGG